rnacentral:rRNA from 1 species
AUGCAAUGUUGUGGGCCGUCCUUAGACGGUUUUGCUUAUUUGCCGGCGGUUGACACGAGAGGUGGGAUCAUAUUAGCCUGGGAUACCAUCGUGAUGAUUGUUGAUCACAUCACGCGCGACAUAAACUCCCUCACUGGCUUGGUGCACCCAAAGUCAGGGGACGAUUGGUGGAUCACCGUGGCCUAUGGGCCACAAGGAGAUGACCUCAAGACACUAUUCCUUGAGGAGCUGAAUGUGAGGAGAGCGGCAUGCCCGGGGCCGUGGAUGGUCCCAGGUGACUUCAACUUGAUCCUUCGAGCCUCGGAGAAAAAUAACAUGAAUCUAAAUCGGGCCAUGAUGAAUGAGUUCAGAAGUUUCGUUGAUAAUAACGAGCUGAAAGAGCUCUACAUGCAUGGACGUCGUUUCACUUGGUCAAACGAGAGAGAUGCCCCGACCAUGACCAAAAUAGACAGGAUCCUCGUUUCAGUGGAUUGGGAACUGGCGCGCCCAGAUUAUCUACUGCAGGCGCUCUCGACAAGUGUCUUUGAUCAUGCUCCGCUACACUUAUCGACCAACGCAACCUACUGGCCGAAGAAAAGGUUUCGUUUUGAGAGCUUCUGGGUUAAGCUAGAGGGUUUCGAGCAGGCUGUGAGGGAGGCCUGGGUUUGUGUGUUGGGG